GCCUGGUGGUUCCUUAAGGCGGCUCAUCCGUGCUGGACCUUGAGGUUAUGAUAAACAGGCAAACAUUGAUCUCUGCGAUUUAAUGCGUGGAAGUUGAUGUUUUCUAUGCACCUUCCACAGCCCGGUUGCAGAAACACGG